rnacentral:rRNA from 1 species
CGGAACGGGUGAGUAACGCGUGAGGAACCGGCCUCAAAGAGGGGACGAACAGUUGGAAACGACUGCUAAUACCGCAUAAGCCCACGGCUCGGCAUCGAGCAGAGGGAAAAGGAGCAAUCCGCUUUGAGAUGGCCUCGCGUCCGAUUAGCUAGUUGGUGAGGUAACGGCCCACCAAGGCGACGAUCGGUAGCCGGACUGGGAGGUUGAACGGCCACAUUGGGACUGAGACACGGCCCAG